GACGAACGCUGGCGGCGUGCUUAACACAUGCAAGUCAAGGAGAAGCCGGAGCUUGCUCUGGUGGACACUGGCGCACGGGUGAGUAACGCGUAGGCAAUCUGCCUUUUGCACUGACAUAACAGAUCUAACGGUCUGCUAAUAUCAGAUGACGCACAUCUAUGGCAUCAUAGACGUGUUAAAGUUUUAAUGGCAAGAGAUGAGCCUGCGUCCCAUUAGGUAGUUGGUAGGGUAACGGCCUACCAAGCCGACGAUGGGUAGCUGGUCUGAGAGGAUGAUCAGCCACAUUGGGACUGAGACACGGCCCAG
rnacentral:rRNA from 1 species